UGGUCUCUGUAACCGGCCCGAGAAGAGGUGCGUCCUCUAACCCGUCGUCUCUCCUUUCCUCCAACGACGGCGCAUGACGUCUAAGCUUCCUUUCCCAGACUGAAACUGAUGUUGUUGUAACUUCUGUGUUUAUUCCAAUUAAUUCAAUCACCCACUAUGAAGUUUUGGUGUUUAUAAAUAGGGUUUUCGAUUCUGUCAGACUCAUCAGUUUCUCUUCCUCGGUCAUCAGAAUCCUUAAAAACCUCACACCAGUCAUUGUUGCCUCAUCGAUUCUGACCUAUCUCUGAUGAGAUGACGGAGCCACCAUGGUUACGUUCGAUGUUCAUUCAACAAACUUCUGUUAGAAAUUAAUUUCAUUGUUGAAACUGGUUUAUUUGUGCCGAGUAUGGGAGAUGAUAAGAAGAUAUCCCUGUGGCGCAAAGAUGGGAAUAGUUUAGCAGUUCCGGUUGCGGUGAAGAACGAUGGUGAUAGUAAGGUUAAUUCCUUUCUAGAUUACUUUAUUCAUCAGUAAAAACACAAUAAAGGAAGAAACUUCAGGCGAUGAAGAAUCAAAGGCCCUCUGUCGGAGGGAAAUUGAAUCUGUUGGUUGAGUCUGAGUUUAGCGCUGAAAGGACUGUCGAAGUCAGAACCAGGGUUGAACCCUUUGUCCCUUUGGUAUUAUUUGGGCUCCGGGUAUCACCACUACGGAGAAUGAAGAUGGAACGUUGCUGGUGAAGUAUAAGAGUCUGGGAGGUGAAUGCAGAACGACACACGUUCCUUCCUCUGAAAUUAGGCCUUUACCACCGUCUUUUGGUUCAAGAUGUUUUGGGUUGCUGGAAAAUGUGGAUGCCCAUCUCGAGCGGAUCGUGUCCAAGUGUGGUAAGCAAGGUUCUUUGUGGGAAUAGAUUCAGUGUCAUGUUGGGACAAAACAAGCGGAGAAAAGACUGACCAGUCACAGUUAAGACCAUCCGAGAAGUGGAAAGUUGGAGCUUGAUAAACACAAGAAGAAAAGUCACAUAGGAGUCCAAUAACAGAGAGAGCGUGCACAUGAGGAAAAUAGGACAGCAUCCACAUAAGUUGAGAAGCACAUAGCCUUAGAAGAAGAGUGGGGAAUCUGCUUCUCAGACACCAAGAUCAAUGCCUAACUCUGUUGUGGAAACUCCUAAAACCAAAGAAACAGCAAUGGUUCUGCCAUUCGUAAAGAAGUCACCGUGCUGGAAAGUCUUUGAAUCAAUGGAGAUCCUCAAGGCUGUGGAACAGCGUCCACAUUUCAGUCACAGCGUCUACAUUUCAGUCCACUGCUAGAGUGCGAGGAAGAGUUCCGUGAAGGAGAAGCCAUUUGCUCCAGCCAUCAGUUUCAACAAGACGAUGUAAAGUUAUUGGUUGUGUAUUGGUUAUUUGUCAUCUAGACUUCUAAAGACAACAUUCAAACAAUGCUGACAAUGUUAAAAACUCUACCAAUAAUUUAAGUUCCUGUAGCUCACUUCACGCCAUGUACAUGUUCGUGUUAAGAACAAAUAUAUGUAUAGUGAAUUACAAAUAUUUUUUAGAGUUUGCAACAUAUAUAAAAUAUAUUUAAUUUUUA